rnacentral:rRNA from 1 species
GACGAACGCUGGCGGCGUGCUUAACACAUGCAAGUCGAACGGAAAGGCCCUGCUUUUGUGGGGUGCUCGAGUGGCGAACGGGUGAGUAACACGUGAGUAACCUGCCCUUGACUUUGGGAUAACUUCAGGAAACUGGGGCUAAUACCGGAUAGGAGCUCCUGCUGCAUGGUGGGGGUUGGAAAGUUUCGGCGGUUGGGGAUGGACUCGCGGCUUAUCAGCUUGUUGGUGGGGUAGUGGCUUACCAAGGCUUUGACGGGUAGCCGGCCUGAGAGGGUGACCGGCCACAUUGGGACUGAGAGACGGCCCAGACUCCUACGGGGGGCAACGGUGGGGAAUAUUGCACAGUGGGCGGAAGCCUGAGGCAGCAACGCCGCGUGCGGGAUGACGGCCUUCGGGUUGUAAACCGCUUUCGCCUGUGACGAAGCGUGAGUGACGGUAAUGGGUAAAGAAGCACCGGCUAACUACGUG